rnacentral:rRNA from 1 species
UAAUACGGAGGAGGCAAGCGUUGUCCGGAAUCACUGGGCGUAAAGGGUGUGUAGGUGUCCUGGUGGGUCAGAUGUGAAAUCCAACCGCUCAACGGUUGAACUGCAUUUGAAACUAUCAGGAUAGAGGACACUAGGGGAGAGUGGAACUCGCGGUGUAGCGGUAGAAUGCGUGGAUAUCGCGAGGAAUGCCGAUGGCGAAGGCGGCUCUCUGGGAUGUUCUUCGUAAUAAGAGGAGCUAUUCGAUUCAGAUCUUCGGAUUAAGAUUGAAUAGUCCUGACACUGAAACACGAGAGCUGGGGGAGCGAACGGGAUUAGAUACCCCGUUAGUCCACGCCGUAAACGAUGCCCGCUUGGUGUCGCAGACUUCUUGGGAGUCUGCGGUGCCGUAGCGUAGGUGUUAAGCGGGCCACCUGGGGAGUACGUCCGCAAGGAUG